CCCUGAUGGAAGGGUGUGCUAGAGAUGG
rnacentral:piRNA from 1 species